rnacentral:rRNA from 1 species
GAUGAACGCUGGCGGCGUGCCUAAUACAUGCAAGUCGAGCGAACAGACGAGGAGCUUGCUCCUCUGACGUUAGCGGCGGACGGGUGAGUAACACGUGGAUAACCUACCUAUAAGACUGGGAUAACUUCGGGAAACCGGAGCUAAUACCGGAUAAUAUAUUGAACCGCAUGGUUCAAUAGUGAAAGACGGUUUUGCUGUCACUUAUAGAUGGAUCCGCGCCGCAUUAGCUAGUUGGUAAGGUAACGGCUUACCAAGGCAACGAUGCGUAGCCGACCUGAGAGGGUGGUCGGCCACACUGGAACUGAGACACGGUCCAGACUCCUACGGGAGGCAGCAGUAGGGAAUCUUCCGCAAUGGGCGAAAGCCUGACGGAGCAACGCCGCGUGAGUGAUGAAGGUCUUCGGAUCGUAAAACUCUGUUAUUAGGGAAGAACAAAUGUGUAAGUAACUGUGCACGUCUUGACGGUACCUAAUCAGAAAGCCACGGCUAACUACGUG